UAGAUAUCCCAUUGUCAUGUAAAUGUGCACCUGUUUAGACUUCACGUUAAGAAAACCGCAUGUCUACUUUUCAGUCACGAAGGAAACGCCCGAGGACUCCAACGCCUGGUCACUAUCUAGGGCUUAAGAACGCAAGGGGCGAUGGUUUCCGUGGCGACCGUGGUGGUGACCGUGGUCGGUAUCGUGGCCGUGAGGACUAUGGGCGCCUUGAGGACUAUGGGUACCAAAGAUCUCCUCCAAGGCGUUUGCCUUAUCGAGAUUAUUCUCCUAGGCGCUCGCCUUACGGGGGAAGGUCAAGAAGGGAACGAUCCAGGUCAUAUUCUCCUUAUGAAAGGA
rnacentral:misc_RNA from 1 species